AUGCCAGCCACCACCACGGCCCCGAAAGUCUACCCUCUGGAUCCCAGGUGUGGGGGCACAACCGGCUCCACAGUGACCGUGGGCUGCCUGGUCUCGAGCUACUUCCCUGAGCCAGUGACCGUGACCUGGAACUCGGGCGCCCCUUCCAGCGGCGUGUACACCUUCCCAUCCGUCCAAGGGUCCUCGGGGCUGUACUCUCUCAGCAGCACUGUGACCGUGCCUGCCAGCACCUCAUCCGGCAAGAGCUUCACCUGCAGCAUAGACCACCGGGCCAGCAGCACCAAGGUGGACAAGCGCAUCGAACUGCUCCUAGAGGAGGAGACCUGUGCUGACGCCCAGGACGGGGAGCUGGACGGACUGUGGACGACCAUCUCCAUCUUCAUCACCCUCUUCCUGCUCAGCGUGUGCUACAGCGCCACCGUGACACUCUUCAAGGUGGGCGGGCCGCCCCGCUCCUCCCCCACGGCCCCGAAAGUCUACGCUCUGCCCCCCAGCUGCGGGGACACACCUAGUUCCACAGUGGUCGUGGGCUGCCUGGUCUCAAGCUACUUCCCUGAGCCAGUGAUCGUGAACUGGAAACCGGGCACCCAUUCCAGAGGCGUGCACACCUUCGCAUCCGUCCACGGCUCCUCGGGGCUGUACUCUCUCAGCAGCACUGUGACCGUGCCUGCCAGCACCUCAUCCGGCAAGAGCUUCACCUGCAGCAUAGACCACCGGGCCAGCAGCACCAAGGUGGACAAGCGCAUCGUGAUCAAUGGCUCCCCAUGCCCCAAGUGUACUGAAUGCCAAAAGUGUCCCGAAUGCCAAAAGUGUCCCAAAUGUCCAGCCCCUGAGCUCCCAGGAGGACCGUCCGUCUUCAUCUUCCCCCCGAAACCCAGAGACACCCUCACAAUAUCCAAAACACCCGAGGUCACCUGCGUUGUGGUGGACGUGAGCCACGAGGACCCCAAUGUCCAGUUCUCCUGGUACGUGGACGCCUCCCCCACGGCCCCGAAAGUCUACGCUCUGCCCCCCAGCUGCGGGGACACACCUAGUUCCACAGUGGUCGUGGGCUGCCUGGUCUCAAGCUACUUCCCUGAGCCAGUGAUCGUGAACUGGAAACCGGGCACCCAUUCCAGAGGCGUGCACACCUUCGCAUCCGUCCACGGCUCCUCGGGGCUGUACUCUCUCAGCAGCACUGUGACCGUGCCUGCCAGCACCUCAUCCGGCAAGAGCUUCACCUGCAGCAUAGACCACCGGGCCAGCAGCACCAAGGUGGACAAGCGCAUCGGUGAGAGGACGGGCCGCAGGGAGGGUGUCCACUACGAGACAGGCCCGGGGUCAGCCCUCCCACCUGAACGGACCGCACACCAGGGAUGGUCCGAAAUCAACGGCCCAAACCCCUGUACCAGGUGUCCCAUAUGCCCAGCCAUUGAGCUCCCAGGAGGACCGUCCGUCUUCAUCUUCCCCCCGAAACCCAAGGACACCCUCACAAUAUCCCGAACACCGGAAGUCUCCUGCAUGGUGGUGGACGUGAGCAAGGAGGACCCCAAUGUCCAGUUCUCCUGGUACGUGGACGGUGUAGAGGUGCACACAGCCAAGACAAAGCCAAAGGAGGAGCAGUUCAACAGCACCUACCGUGUGGUCAGCGCCCUGCCCAUCCAGCACCAGGACUGGCUGACGGGAAAGGAGUUCAAGUGCAAGGUCAACAACAAAGGCCUCCCAGCCCCCAUUGUGAGAACCAUCUCCAAGGACAAAGGGCAGACCCACGAGCCGCAGGUGUACGUACUGGCCCCACCGCGGGAAGAGCUGGCCAAGAGCUCGGUCAGCUUAACCUGCAUGGUCACCGACUUCUACCCGAGCGACAUCGAUGUGGAGUGGCAGAGAAACGGGCAGCCAGAGUCAGCGGACAAAUACAAUACGACGCCACCCCAGCAGGAAAACGGGUCCUUCUUCCUGUACAGCAAGCUCAGGGUGGACAAGAAGAGCUGGCUGCCCCUCACUGUGAAGUGGAUCUUCUCGUCGGUGGUUGAGCUGAAGCGCACGAUCGUCCCCGACUACAGAAACAUGAUCGGGCAGGGCGCCUAG